GCAGGUCGGCCCUGGGGAACUGCGCAUUGGAGAGAGGAGGGCCGAGGUUGUGCGGGACGGAGCGGGUGGGGGUGUCGCACAGAGCCUGAGGUGGAAAGGUGGUGAGCGAAUUAAAAUGAGAAGAACGGUAGACCAGAGUUUUACGUCAUGAACACAAACAAUAAUUUUGCAGAUGUGAUGAAGUGACUUUCGACUGAUGUUUCCCGAAAGCGGCAACACGUGUCCCUCUUACCCGGCUGGUGCAGUCCUCUCGUCUACAGAUGUGUCGCUUGAUGUACCCUUCGGAUGGCACACUGCCACUUAAUAAAAUAUCAAUCCUGCUUUGACAGGGAAGCCUUAAUUGAGUCCCUCGUCAGUUUUAUCAAACUGUGUGUUUUUUGUCGUUUGAAACUUUCCUCCUCUAUAUCCCCUUCAGUCUCUCUCUUGCUCUUAUGGAAUAUGCUAGUAGUUGAAUUCCUCUGUAACGAAAAGAGACGGAGGGCGGUGCUGGGAAAGAAGAACAAAGUGAAAGAAAGAAAACACUGGAACGGAAAGAAAAAAUAAGAACAAGCGCAAAAGUGGGAGAGAGCAGGAGAAAAUCGCCCAAGAGAGACGGUGCGAAGAAAAAACCCUUUGGAGGCUAUUUCGUCAUUGGAUUCAUAAUUCAGGUUCAUGAUUUUAAUUUCCCUCUGUUCUUAUCAAAGGCCGGUGGAGCAGCAGGGGGAAGGCUGGUAGUUAGCUGGGUAACUGCAUAUGAGAUGAGCUGCAGCGCUCCGUCACAACGCCUGGACGACAUAAUAGGGAUGUAAAUUUGCUCAGAACAACAUUCACUCACAACAAAUUCCUCUCCCAAACAAAACCCCGCAUUCAUGUGUUGUUUGCGAGACCUUUUUCUUUGACAUCAUCUACAUUUUCCCUCAGAAGCCAUAAGAAAUCUCUGGCCCUCCAAAGUAUAUUAAAUCACACAGAAAGACGAAAUGCUUGUUUAAAGACCUACGAAAAAGCUUGCAGAUGAAUAAUGAAUUUCCAUUGUGUGUGACUGCAGUCUUUUGAUAACAUUCUCUUGUAUGUCUAUAAUAAAAAUGUCGCUCUAUCAAAGUGUAUUCGUCUAUUGCAAUGUAGUAACAUUGUCACAAACUAAUACAGCCACUGGGCCACUGUUUUAAAGUUGGUAGCUUUUAGAUUUAGAGUUUGUUUCAGGCAGUUUGAGUCGCCCAUAAAGUAUCGUAAAACUGAGUAAUAAUUAAGCAAUAAGGUACGAGAGGCUGUACUUUAUCAUCCAAUAAUGUAACAGUUUCGGGGGUGUUGUUAGGCCCGCCACUGCGCGUCGUUGAGUUAACCCUCAAACAAAUAAUAUAAUAAUAAUUCUACUUGUAAUAAAAUGGGUGCAAACUUAUUUGUUCAGUGUACGCCACCACUACGUUGUGCGUGGUGUGUAAAUUUGAAGCGACUGUUGAUGCAUCCUCAAACUGUCCUUACUUUGAAGGCUAAAGGAACUACAUGCAUACAAACACCAUUACAUUUCUGUUUCUUCAUUUCUGAUUUCUUCCCUCUGUGUCAUCUUAUAUAUAUAUAUUUUCCCUCGCCUUUCUCUUGUCUCCUACAUUCUCUGCAUCUCGCUCAUUCACUGUCCAUCCCUCCUUUCGGUCCCUCUCUCACCGUUUCCCUUUCUUUCUGUCUAUAUUGCUUUGUCUUUGGUGCUUACAGGUCUCUGCAAUGCCACUUUACUUCCCAGUCAGCCGUUUGAUCAUUAAUUUAUCACAGUUCCAGCAGUUUGUUUGACAGGUGCUUUCAUCUGACUAGCACCAUGGCAUUGCUGAAUGAACAAGGGACCUAUAUGU
ensembl:lncRNA